rnacentral:rRNA from 1 species
GAACGUACGCUGGCGGCACGCCUAACACAUGCAAGUCGAACGAAGUAGCAAUACUUAGUGGCAGACGGGUGAGUAACAUGUAGGUAUCUGCCCUUUGGCCUGGAAUAACACGAGGAAACUUGUGCUAAUACCGGAUAAGUCUUUACGGAGAAAGCUUUAUGCACCAUUGGAUGAGCCUGCACUUGAUUAGUUUGUUGGUGGGGUAAUGGCCUACCAAGACUGUGAUCAAUAGCUGAUUUGAGAGGAUGAUCAGCCACAUUGGGACUGAGACACGGCCCAAACUCCUACGGGAGGCAGCAGUGGGGAAUCUUGCACAAUGGAGGAAACUCUGAUGCAGCGAUGCCGCGUGAGUGAAGAAGGCCUUUGGGUUGUAAAGCUCUUUCGUCGGGGAAGAAAAUGACUGUACCCGAAUAAGAAGGUCCGGCUAACUUCGUGCCAGCAGCCGCGGUAAUACGAAGGGACCUAGCGUAGUUCGGAAUUACUGGGCUUAAAGAGUUCGUAGGUGGUUGAAAAAGUUAGUGGUGAAAUCCCAGAGCUUAACUCUGGAACUGCCAUUAAAACUUUUCAGCUAGAGUAUGAUAGAGGAAAGCAGAAUUUCUAGUGUAGAGGUGAAAUUCGUAGAUAUUAGAAAGAAUACCAAUUGCGAAGGCAGCUUUCUGGAUCAUUACUGACACUGAGGAACGAAAGCAUGGGUAGCGAAGAGGAUUAGAUACCCUCGUAGUCCAUGCCGUAAACGAUGUGUGUUAGACGUUGGAAAUUUAUUUUCAGUGUCGCAGGGAAACCGAUAAACACACCGCCUGGGGAGUACGACCGCAAGGUUAAAACUCAAAUGAAUUGACGGGGACCCGCACAAGUAGUGGAGCAUGUGGUUUAAUUCGAAGAUACGCGCAGAACCUUACCAACACUUGACAUGUUCGUCGCGACUCUAAGAGAUUAGAGUUUUCGGUUCGGCCGGACGAAACACAGGUGCUGCAUGGCUGUCGUCAGCUCGUGUCGUGAGAUGUUGGGUUAAGUCCCGCAACGAGCGCAACCCUCACUUUUAGUUGCCAUCAUUAAGUUGGGCACUCUGAAAGAACUGCCAGUGAUAAGCUGGAGGAAGGUGGGGAUGACGUCAAGUCCUCAUGGCCCUUACGUGUUGGGCUACACACGUGCUACAAUGGUAUCUACAACAGGAAGCAAGACUGCGAAGUUAAGCAAAUCCCUAAAAGAUACCUCAGUUCGGAUUGCACUCUGCAACUCGAGUGCAUGAAGCUGGAAUUACUAGUAAUCGUGGAUCAGCGUGCCACGGUGAAUGCGUUCCCGGGUCUUGUACACACCGCCCGUCA